CACGUAGGCGGACCAGAAAGUUGGGGUGAAAUCCCGGGGCUCAACCCCGGAACUGCCUUCAAAACUCCUGGUCUUGAGGUCGAGAGAGGUGAGUGGAAUUCCGAGUGUAGAGGUGAAAUUCGUAGAUAUUCGGAGGAACACCAGUGGCGAAGGCGGCUCACUGGCUCGAUACUGACGCUGAGGUGCGAAAGCGUGGGGAGCAAACA
rnacentral:rRNA from 1 species